UGACGGAGAUGGUGUAUUCAAUGUCACGAGUCUUGAACACUUUAUGAAGUCAGUGAAGUUGGCAGAGCAUGGAUUCUCCUAUGCUGUAGUUUCUAUCAUGGGUCCACAAAGUAGUGGUGAUUUGGUCACAUAUUUGUGAAUCUAGGGAAGUGAUAUCACUUUCAAGAUGCAGAACGAAGCGGGUGAAAUGAUGAAUCUUUAUAUCCUUAGAAAAUGUUCUGCUACGAACAGACUAAUCACUGCCAAGGAUCACGCAUCCGUCCAAA